UACCAGCACCCCGAGUGGUCGGGACGUUUUAUUGGGCCUAAAGCAUCCGUAGCCGGUUCUACAAGUCUUCCGUUAAAUCCACCUGCUCAACAGUUGGGCUGCGGAGGAUACUACAGCGCUAGGAGGCGGGAGAGGCAAGCGGUACUCAUCGGGGUAGGGGUAAAAUCCACUGAUCCAUUGAAGACCACCAGUGGCGAAGGCGGCUUGCCAGAACGCGCUCGACGGUGAGGGAUGAAAGCUGGGGGGAGCAAACCGG
rnacentral:rRNA from 1 species